CACGUAGGGGGCGAGCGUUGUCCGGAUUUAUUGGGCGUAAAGAGCUCGUAGGCGGCUCAGUAAGUCGGGUGUGAAAACUCCAGGCUCAACCUGGAGACGCCACCUGAUACUGCUGUGGCUAGAGUCCGGUAGGGGAGCAUGGAAUUCCUGGUGUAGCGGUGAAAUGCGCAGAUAUCAGGAGGAACACCAGUGGCGAAGGCGGUGCUCUGGGCCGGAACUGACGCUGAGGAGCGAAAGCGUGGGGAGCGAACAGG
rnacentral:rRNA from 1 species